GACGGAGGGGGCAAGCGUUGUUCGGAAUUAUUGGGCGUAAAGGGCUCGUAGGCGGACCGGUGUGUCUGGCGUGAAAUCUCCACUGCUUAACAGGGAGGGGCCGCUGGAAACUGCCGAUCUUGAGUAUGGUAGAGGACCAUGGAAUUCCGGGUGUAGCGGUGGAAUGCGUAGAUAUCCGGAAGAACACCGGUGGCGAAGGCGGUGGUCUGGACCAAAACUGACGCUGAGGAGCGAAAGCCAGGGGAGCAAACGGG
rnacentral:rRNA from 2 species